ACUAAAUAGAUACCCAGGUAGUCCACGCCCUAAACGAUGUCUACUAGUUGUUGGUGGAGUAAAAUCCAUGAGUAAACGCAGCUAAACGCGUGAAGUAGACCGCCUGGGGAGUACGGUCGCAAGAUUAAAACUCAAAGGAAUUGACGGGGGCCCGGCACAAGCGGUGGAUUAUGUGGAUUAAAUUCGAUGCAACGCGAAAAACCUUACCUGGCCUUGACAUGCCACUAACGAAGCAGAGAUGCAUUAGGUGCCCGUAAGGGAAAGUGGACACAGGUGCUGCAUGGCUGUCGUCAGCUCGUGUCGUGAGAUGUUGGGUUUAAGUCCCGCAACGAGCGCAACCCUUGCCAUUAAUUGCCAUCAUUUAGUUGGGCACUUUAAUGGGACUGCCGGUGACAAACCGGAGG
rnacentral:rRNA from 1 species